AAAUACAUACACUCAUAUAUAAAAAAAGUAUAUAUACAGCAUAUAUAUUAUAUAUACACUGUUUGUAUACUAAAUAUACCGUAAUUAUACUGUAUAUAUAGUUUACAUUUACUGUAUGUAUAUAUACAUACACACAUAUAUAUAUAUAUAUAUAUAUAUAUAUAUAUAUAUAUAUAUAUAUAUAUAUAUAUACAAACCCCGUUUCCAUAUGAGUUGGGAAAUUGUGUUAGAACUAAAUAUAAAAGGAAUAGAAUGAUUUGCAAAUCCUUUUCAACCCAUAUUCAGUUGAAUGCACUACAAAAACAUGACAUUUUAUGUUCAAACUCAUAAACUUUAUUUUUUCUUGCAAAUAAUAAUUAACUUAGAAUUUCAUGGCUGCAACAUGUGCCAAAGUAGUUGGAAAAGGGCAUGUUCACAACUGUGUUACAUCACCUUUUCUUUUAACAACACUCAAUAAACAUUUGGGAACUGAGGAAACUAAUUGUUGAAGCUUUGAAAGUGGAAUUCUUUCCCAUUCUUGUUUUAUGUAGAGCUUCAGUCGUUCAACAGUCCGGGGUCUCUGCUGUCGUAUUUUACGCUUCAUAAUGCGCCACACAUUUUCGAUGGGAGACAGGUCUGGACUGCAGGCGGGCCAGGGAAGCACCUGCACUCUUUUACUACAAAACCACGUUGUUGUAAUACGUGGCUUGGCAUUGUCUUGCUGAAAUAAGCAGGGGCGUCCAUGAUAACGUUGCUUGGAUGACAACAUAUGUUGCUCCAAAACCUGUAUGGACCAUUCAGCAUUAAUGGUGCCUUCUCAGAUGUGUAAGUUACCCAUGACUUGGGCACUAAUACACCCCCAUACCAUCACAGAUGCUGGCUUUAGAACUUUGCGUCUAUAACAAUCCGGAUGGUUAUUUUCCUCUUUGUUCCGGAGGACACCACGUCCACAGUUUCCAAAUAUAAUUUGAAAUGUGGACUCGUCAGACCACAGAACACCUUUCCAACUUGCAUCAGUCCAUCUUAGAUGAGCUCGGGCCCAGCAAAGCCAGCGGCGGUCCUUGGUGUUGUUGAUAAAUGGGUUUUGCUUUGCAUAGCAGAGUUUUAACUUCCACUUACAGAUGUAGCAACCAAAUAUAGUUACUGACAGUGGUUUUAUGAAGUGUUCCUGAGCCCAUGUGGUGAUAUCCUUUACACACUGAUGUCUGUUUUUGAUGCAGUACCGCCGUCUAAUGGAACAAAAGUCCGUAAUAUCAUCGCUUACGUGCAGUGAUUUCUCCAAAUUCUCUGAACCUUUUGAUGAUUUUAUGGACCGAAGAUGGUAAAAUCCCUAAAUUCAUUACAAUAGCUCGUUAAGAAAUGUUGUUCUAAAACUGUUCGACAAUUUGCUUACAAAGUGGUGACCCUCGCCCCAUCCUUGUUUGUGAAUUAAUUAGCAUUUCAUGGAAACUGCUUUUAUACCCAAUCAUGGCACCCACCUGUUCCCAAUUAGCCUGCUCACCUGUGGGAUGUUCCAAAUAAGUGUUAGAUGAGCAUUUCUCAACUUUAUCUGUAUUUAUUGCCACCUUUCCCAACUUCUUUGUCACGUGUUGCUGGCAUCAAAUUCUAAAGUUAAUGAUUAUUUGCAACAACAAAAAAAUGUUUAUCAGUUUUAACAUCAAAUAUGUUGUCUUUGUAGUACAUUCAACUGAAUAUGGGUUGAAAAUGAUUUGCAAAUCAUUGUAUUCCGUUUAUAUUUACAUCUAACACAAUUUCACAACUCACAUGGAAACGGGGUUUGUAUAUAUAUAUAUAUAUAUAUAUAUAUAUAUAUAUAUAUUUAUAUAUAUAUAUACAUACAUAUAUAUAUGUGUGUGUGUGUGUAUAAUGUGUGUGUAUCUAAAAAGUGUGCAGUUGUUUCACAAUAACCGGAAAUUUUGUCUAGACUAGAACAAUUAUUAAUUGAUUCUUAUAAGUAACUCCGCUUCACUUUUCGGUUUAUGAACCAUGUUAAAGAACAAAUUCAGGUUCCACUGUGGAUGAAAAUAGAACAGUGCCUCUUCUGGUGGCAGCCAAGUACUGCACCCUAUUUGGACUCAAUUCUGUCAAGGUGUGAGUAAUUGAUGAAUUGAUUAGGAUGCCCAUCACUGGAGCUUUUAUGUGGAAGUUUUACAACGACUUGCCUUCAUGUCAACCUAGUGGCUGUUAAUAGCACAGCAAGCAUCGUGGUAGUAUUUGUAUUUUGUUUUGCAUGUACCUAAUAUGUACGCUGAUAUCCCAGACUUGAAAGAAUGUCACAACUGAGUCUGUUAAACUCUUGUAAUUAGUAAUUGUUGUUUUUUUUUAAGCUAAUCCAUGGUGAGGUACAGCAUGACUUGUAUUUUCUGUCAAAAUUGUUAUGAUCCGCCUCCCGGAUAACAGUCUGUUUACAUUUUCGAGUCACUUGUGUUUUCAGCACCUUUUGAGUUUGUGUGUUUCAGUUGCCAUGACAGCAGAUUACAAUCACCUGCUUCUGGUUAGUGUUCGGGACGCUCACCUGUUGCCUGGGCACUAAUCAGAGAGCUAUUUAGUCUAUGCCCUGGCCUCACUCGGCCUGGUGGUCUUUUGUUACGCUGGUGAGGCAUCGGGAUGCUGGAGGUCGUCCUUUCAAGAUGCAGAGGGAUGCCAGGAAGCGGCUUGCAGAUCUUCAUUUUGGCAGCAGAAGAAAAUCUGGAACUGGUAAAGCUGAAAUUAUCUCAUGUGGACCUAACUUUACACUUUUUUUGAUUGCUGUGAUCUGUAAAAUCAAGUUCAGAGAUGAGGAACAUCGAUUUUACGAAACUACCAAACAUUAACUGUGAUUGUGCAACCUGGCAGCAACUCCGCAAGCAAGAAGCAGGAACCCGUCUCUUUCUCCUGUCCCAAACCUCAGUGGUUCCUUGGGCAAGAGUAAUGGCUCCUCUGCGCUGGGCUGUGCCAUGCUAUUGUAGAAUCACAGAGCGGUUAAUUGAAACAAAUGACUCUAAUAAUGGGACAUUAUCCCCACAGGCUGACUUUGUGGCGGGCCUAAUUAGCGUAGCAUUGCUGACGAGGAGGACGAGUCAUCGCUCGGAUCCCUCAAAGGAAGCAGCCGAGGAGCCGCUUUAAAGCGGGCAGGGAGGGAUUCUCCCACUUCCAACGCAGAAAGGGUGGCAUGCUCUCGCGCUCUCAAACGCGGGGCGGGCAAUGCAAUUUCGUCGGACCCUCUGAGGAGGAUUCCUAGGGUAGCCAACUCCCGGAAAAUAAAUAAAGGGGAACUUGUUGGCUAUCUCAACCCCUACAGACCUAGUGAGUUCUUCUUUGUUGUAUUUGUGUGAAUGAUUCUUAAAUGAUUUGACUCAGUUUACUUAAAUGCACAAUAUGGAGUAACAUGAAUACAUCGAAAACAAAUUGUUUGAUACAUAUUAGGGGUGUGGGAAAAAAUAGAUUUGAAUCGGAAUCGAAUUGUUUACGUUGUGCGAUUCAGAAUCGAUUCUCAUUUUUAAAAAAUCGAUUUUCUUUUUUUAUUAUUAUUUUUUUUUAUCAAUCCAACAAACCACUACACAGCAAUACCAUAACAAUGCAAUCCAAUUCCAAAACCAAACCUGACCCAGCAACACUCAGAACUGCAAUAAACAGAGCAAAUUAGAGGAGACAAACACGACACAGAACAAACCAGAAGUAGUGAAACAAAAAUGAAUAUUAUCAACAACAGUAUCAAUAUUAAUUAUAAUUUCAGCAUAGCAGUGAUUAAAAAUCCCUCACUGACAUUAUCACUAGACAUUUAUAAAAAUAAAAAAAAAGAACAAUAGUUUCACAGUGGCUUACAGUUGCAUCGCAUCUCAUAAGCUUGACAACACACUGUGUCCAAUG